GACGAACCGUGCGAACGUUAUUCGGAAUCACUGGGCUUAAAGCGCGUGUAGGCGGAAGGGCACGUCCGUUGCUGAAAUCCCCGGCUCAACCGGGGAACGGGCGCGGAUACGACUCUUCUGGAGGGCGUAGGGGGACCUGGAACUUCCGGUGGAGCGGUGAAAUGCGUUGAGAUCGGAAGGAACGCCCGUGGCGAAAGCGAGGUCCUGGACGCCUACUGACGCUGAGACGCGAAAGCCAGGGGAGCGAACAGG
rnacentral:rRNA from 1 species